ensembl:lncRNA
CUGGAGCCUGUCCCAGAUGACUAAAAUCCCAUUUAAUAUGCUGCUGCACCAACAAACUACUUGCAAGGCAACAAGAUUUAUUGCAAAGAAGCAUUGUUACAACAAAGAAAUAAUCAAACAAACCCAAGCUAUGUGUAGUAAAAAAUGUACGGGACCUUAGGACCUGCUGCUCAACGUCAGCGAGACACAAUGGACUGUCUGGCCUGGGUAUUUUAGGUGUGCAAAUUUUCAUCCCCAAAUCACACAAAAGUGUGUGGGAGGAAUAAUCAUGGAAACAAGAAGAUUUCGCUCUCUCUCUCUGACUGUGAUGAUGAACAGCAAGCAAAGGAAUACGUCUUCAGACAAGAAAAUGAUUAAUCUGUGAUGGCUACCGCUGGCCACACCAUAAAUGUCAACAGCACUUCUCAGCAGUACACUCAGCAACCGACUGCAGCACCUGGGCCCUCUCAGUCCCACCAGAGAGCGUCCUACCAGCCAGCACCAGCUCAGCCUGAUGACCCAGCUGAGCUCAUGACCACAUCACCCAGCCAUGAACAGCCAUUCCUAAGACCACCACCAUCAUACGAGGAAACAACUGGUCCUGCCUACCCUCUACAACUGAUGCCUUCCAGUGAGACAGUGUUCAUCCCACUGUACCUAUCAGAGGGUACUGUGCAUGAGCACAACGGUCUACAGGACAGCACAGACUUCCUAACCAGCACUGCAUGCGACCCUGAAUUUGUUAUACGCUAGGCUUAAUAGUCAUAGCGCCCCAAGCAGACACAAACAUGAUGCAAAAUAUUUGGCUCAAAUGGAAGUAUGUACUUUGAAUGAAGAUGAGACACAGCAGUGUAACUUGAUGUAUUUUCAAUUUUAUUCUUUAAACCAGUUUUUAGUGGCUCAAGUUAUUUAGAAAAAUUGAAACAUAAGGUCACUGUUUCUCACUAAUUGUCUUUGGCCUUAUUCCUCAAGAUCUCUCCCUCUUGUCUUUACUCUCUAUCGGGGAAAGUACUUGACAGUCAGAUUCAGUUGUCAGCAGUUAGAAGGUGUUUCAGUGUUCAUUAGAAAUGCAUCGAUGGAUGCACAUGCAAGAUAAAUAUGAACACGUUAAAGAAGCUGACGUUAAAGUCAGGCGGUUGUACAGAAAAUCAUUGUGAAGUUAAUAACUUUUGUUAUUAUUUUAUUAUAGUCUCUUAUUAUAUUUUUUUACAUUGGAUACAGUUUGAGUUAUAGAUUUUAGAAAAACAAUCAGUUGUUAAACAGUGCGUCUCUAGUAUCUGUGGAUAUCGUCUCAUCGCUAUCUAUGAAUUUACUGCAGACCUGCAAAGUGCUGUUAACCCUUUUUCUCUGUGUAUUUGUGUGCAUUGCCUUGUAAGUCAUGCCCCAUGUGAAUGAAUUCAAAGAGUGCAAACAUUUAUUACUGAGGGUUUUUUCUCCAUUCAUGUCAGGUCAGCUGAUCACUCACACUUCCUGAACACAUACAGUUCCACUUUUUUAAUGCAUGUUGUUUUCAGUGUGUAAAAGAUGCGUUUACACUGUAUUAUUUUUGUUAGGACAUCACACGCUCCCCCAUUGAGUGAGCUGAAUUCUGGAUCUGUAAUUUAUGCUCUAGGUAAUUAUUGAAAUGAACUGACUGCUCCUUUGUAUAUACAUUUUCUCACGGAUAGAUCGAUGUGCAGCGGCCCUUCGGUCUCCCUUUACAGGGAGUGCAGAAUUAUUAGGCAAAUGAGUAUUUUGUCCACAUCAUCCUCUUCAUGCAUGUUGUCUUACUCCAAGCUGUAUAGGCUCGAAAGCCUACUACCAAUUAAGCAUAUUAGGUGAUGUGCAUCUCUGUAAUGAGAAGGGGUGUGGUCUAAUGACAUCAACACCCUAUAUCAGGUGUGCAUAAUUAUUAGGCAACUUCCUUUCCUUUGGCAAAAUGGGUCAAAAGAAGGACUUGACAGGCACAGAAAAGUCAAAAAUAGUGAGAUAUCUUGCAGAGGGAUGCAGCAGUCUCAAAAUUGCAAAGCUUCUGAAGCGUGAUCAUCGAACAAUCAAGCGUUUCAUUCAAAGUAGUCAACAGGGUCGCAAGAAGCGUGUGGAAAAACCAAGGCGCAAAAUAACUGCCCAUGAACUGAGAAAAGUCAAGCGUGCAGCUGCCAAGAUGCCACUUGCCACCAGUUUGGCCAUAUUUCAGAGCUGCAACAUCACUGGAGUGCCCAAAAGCACAAGGUGUGCAAUACUCAGAGACAUGGCCAAGGUAAGAAAGGCUGAAAGACGACCACCACUGAACAAGACACACAAGCUGAAACGUCAAGACUGGGCCAAGAAAUAUCUCAAGACUGAUUUUUCUAAGGUUUUAUGGACUGAUGAAAUGAGAGUGAGUCUUGAUGGGCCAGAUGGAUGGGCCCGUGGCUGGAUUGGUAAAGGGCAGAUAGCUCCAGUCCGACUCAGACGCCAGCAAGGUGGAGGUGGAGUACUGGUUUGGGCUGGUAUCAUCAAAGAUGAGCUUGUGGGGCCUUUUCGGGUUGAGGAUGGAGUCAAGCUCAACUCCCAGUCCUACUGCCAGUUUCUGGAAGACACCUUCUUCAAGCAGUGGUACAGGAAGAAGUCUGCAUCGUUCAAGAAAAACAUGAUUUUCAUGCAGGACAAUGCUCCAUCACACGUCCAAGUACUCCACAGCGUGGCUGGCAAGAAAGGGUAUAAAAGAAGAAAAACUAAUGACAUGGCCUCCUUGUUCACCUGAUCUGAACUCCAUUGAGAACAUGUGGUCCAUCAUCAAAUGUGAGAUUUACAAGGAGGGAAAACAGUACACCUCUCUGAACAGUGUCUGGGAGGCUGUGGUUGCUGCUGCACGCAAUGUUGAUGGUGAACAGAUCAAAACACUGACAGAAUCCAUGGAUGGCAGGCUUUUGAGUGUCCUUGCAAAGACAGGUGGCUAUAUUGGUCGCUGAUUUGUUUUUGUUUUGUUUUUGAAUGUCAGAAAUGUAUAUUUGUGAAUGUGGAGAUGUUAUAUUAGUUUCACUGGUAAAAAUAAAUUAUUGAAAUGGGUAUAUAUUUGUUUUUGUUAAGUUGCCUAAUAAUUAUGCACAGUAAUAGUCACCUGCACACACAGAUAUCCCCCUAAAAUAGCUAAAACUAAAAACAAACUGAAAACUACUUCCAAAAACAUUCAGCUUUGAUAUUAAUGAGUUUUUUCGGUUCAUUGAGAACAUGGUUGUUGUUCAAUAAUAAAAUUAUUCCUCAAAAAUACAACUUGCCUAAUAAUUCUGCACUCCCUGUACUGUACAUCCUGUACCUUAGCCUGUGUAGUGAUAUUGACAACAAAAAUAAUUAAAAAUACACUUACCCAUCGGGGCGCCGGAAACUGGUAGAUUGCAGGUAUGCCAGUUUGUCAGUCCAGCUCUGGCUGGUAAACCAAACCAGAUUAAUUAAUCUGGCCUAAAUAUUGUUAUGAGAGUUGUGAAAACUCAUUUUGUCGUUAUUGAUUUUCUGGCACGGAAUACCUUUGAAGUAGCAAAUAAAUUACGAUCGAUUAAACUUACUAUCAAUAUGUUUUUUUCCUCUUAUGAAAUAAAAGUGUCGGAGUUUCGAGCCUGUGCGGUUUCGCCAAACUUGCAGUCGAGAAUUUUCAAAGUAAAAGCCAUCUAAAGCGUCAAAAAUUAAUUGUUAACAUGCCAAUUUUUACUGUCUUGAUUUUAAUUCGACAAUAAAUAAACAAACAGACUUCUG